ACGUGAAACCGGUCGUAAGGUGGAAACUUGGGUAUAGAGUCGGCGUAUCAUUCAAGACUAUUCGAGUUACCAUCUAUUUUUAUGUUGUGACCUCUGAGCUCCAGAUUGGGACAGAGGGAAUCAGCAUAAUUUUUUGUGGUGCAUUUACUUGAUUGGUGCUUGGGGAUGUUUGAGGCAGAUUUGUUUCCGUCGUUUUGAGGCCAGCUUGCUGGUACCCAAACGGUGUUAGCAUUUUUUGUCUUGGGCAUUUGAGUAUGGCUCACGGGUAUUUAUUGGACAGAUCUGAGUGUAAGUUACGGUCGCAUGCGACACGUGCUUUUCAAUUAGUUCGGUCCAGUUAAUGCUCUCGUACUCGUUCCCCAUGUAAAAGCCGGUCAUCUAUCCGACCCGUCUUGAAACACGGACCAAGGAGUUUAUCGUGUGCGCAAGUUUUUGGGUGUUAAAAACUUAAAAGCGAAAUGAAAGUAAAUGACUCUUUAGAGUCUGAUGUGCGAUCUUGUAAAAAAGUGCAGCAUGGCCCCAUUCUAACUGUUUACAGUAGGGUGGCGGAAGAGCGUACGCGGUGAGACCCGAAAGAUGGUGAACUAUUCCUGAGCAGGACGAAGCCAGAGGAAACUCUGGUGGAAGUCCGAAGCGGUUCUGACGUGCAAAUCGAUCGUCUGACUUGGGUAUAGGGGCGAAAGACUAAUCGAACCAUC
rnacentral:rRNA from 1 species